UACGAAGGGGACUAGCGUUGUUCGGAUUUACUGGGCGUAAAGGGCUCGUAGGCGGCCAACUAAGUCAGACGUGAAAUCCCCAGGCUCAACCUGGGAACUGCGUCUGAUACUGGAUGGCUUGAAUCCGGGAGAGGGAUGCAGAAUUCCAGGUGUAGCGGUGAAAUGCGUAGAUAUCUGGAGGAAUACCGGUGGCGAAGGCAGCAUCCUGGACCGGCAUUGACGCUGAGGAGCGAAAGCCAGGGGAGCAAACGGG
rnacentral:rRNA from 1 species